rnacentral:rRNA from 1 species
GACGAACCGUGCGAACGUUAUUCGGAAUCACUGGGCUUAAAGCGCGUGUAGGCGGGCCGCCCCGUCGGCUGCUGAAAUCCCCCGGCUCAACCGGGGAACGGGCACCGAUACGAGCGGCCUCGAGGGGGGUAGGGGGGUCUGGGAACUUCCGGUGGAGCGGUGAAAUGCGUUGAGAUCGGAAGGAACGCCCGUGGCGAAAGCGAGGCCCUGGACCCUUUCUGACGCGUGACGACGCGAAAGCCAGGGGAGACGGAACGGGG